GACGGAGGGUGCAAGCGUUAUUCGGAUUUAUUGGGCGUAAAGAGAGUGUAGGCGGUCAGCCAAGUCUGAUGUGAAAGCCCGGGGCUUAACCUCGGAAGGGCGUUGGAAACUGGUUGACUUGAGUUCGGGAGAGGGAAGCGGAAUUCCGGGUGUAGAGGUGAAAUUCGUAGAUAUCCGGAGGAACACCGGUGGCGAAGGCGGCUUCCUGGACCGAAACUGACGCUGAGACUCGAAAGCGUGGGGAGCAAACAGG
rnacentral:rRNA from 1 species